UCUGCUCCAUCCGCCGACAUCUUACCGCCGAGUGGAGGAGAGCGACGACAGCCCGCAGACCACGGUUCAGUGUCGAGAUGGAGACUCGGUGAGACACGGGGCCUGAGGGACAAACUACCCGGGACAAGGAGGCUUCUCAGCGGGCGGACGAAUACCAGGGACGCCUUGUGUGUUGACGUCUUCCACACCUGGCAGCAGGUCCAGUCACUGGUCGCCAACGUCACAGAGCACAAUGCUGAUGCCACCGUGCUGUUGGACUUCCUCUACAGGAUAUGUGACAUCAUGACCGCCUACUGUGGCUAGGAGAACGCCAAGAACAACUAUAUCCUCAUCCAUGAGCCACUGGACGCCGGUGUCGUCUGCUCUGUCUGUCUAUCUGAAGGUAUCUGAGCCUAAGUGGACCUACAGCGACCACGACCCAAUCAGAUGGGUCUGCUACAUUGGACAGAGCAGCCCCGAUGCCCUGACAUCAUCAACUAGUGACAAACAGCUCCUACAUUUCCCAUGAUGCACUGUGGAUGGAGUCUGGAGUGUUUGUGGACUUAUGACAUAACCGUGAUGUCAUCAGCUCCUGGUCUUAGUGAAAGGAAUUCUCUCAGUUUGUAUUAUUCAUGAAUAUCAGUGUGUUUGUGAAGCUGUGAUGUUGAAUCUUCCUUUGUAAUUAAACUUCUCAGACUGA